rnacentral:tRNA from 1 species
GGUUUUAUAGUGUAAAGUAAACACCUUAGACUGCAAUUCUAAAAAAGUAUGAGAAUUACUAAAGCCU